GAUACUUGGAGAUGUAGAAGAAAUUAUCACUACAGUAGAGAUUGAUGACGAAACAUAUGAAGAGAUAGUUCGGACCACGAGGCGAACCGUCCCCUUUCUUUUUGUUAGAGGAGAUGGUGUUAUCCUUGUUUCUCCACCACUAAGGACAGCAUGAUUGUUCCUAGGCGUGUCAUAGCUAACAAGGAUUUGGAUGUAUCUUGUACUGACUGGUUAUUUAUCUAUCUUUUCGGAAAACAUUUGAAUUAUUUCUUUAGGGUCUCACUGUAACCUGUGCUUCUAUGAUGAAGUAUUAUCUACCUUUAACCCUAAUAUUUGAAGGGGUUAUUAUUGCUUUUUCUUUUUUUUCUUUCUUUUUUUUUUGCUACAAUUUGGUAAUGUGAGAUUAAUUGCAAGUGAAUUCUUUUUGUCUGAAAAAAGCCAAAUUGUUUACUUCUU